rnacentral:tRNA from 1 species
GGCGCGGUAGCCAAGUGGUAAGGCAAAGGUUCGCAAAACCUUAAUCGUCGGUUCGAUUCCGGCCCGCGCCUCCA